rnacentral:rRNA from 1 species
UGGGGAAUUUUGGACAAUGGGGGAAACCCUGAUCCAGCCAUCCCGCGUGUGCGAUGAAGGCCUUCGGGUUGUAAAGCACUUUUGGCAGGAAAGAAACGUCAUGGGUUAAUACCCCGUGAAACUGACGGUACCUGCAGAAUAAGCACCGGCUAACUACGUGCCAGCAGCCGCGGUAAUACGUAGGGUGCAAGCGUUAAUCGGAAUUACUGGGCGUAAAGCGUGCGCAGGCGGUUCGGAAAGAAAGAUGUGAAAUCCCAGAGCUCAACUUUGGAACUGCAUUUUUAACUACCGUGCUAGAGUGUGUCAGAGGGAGGUGGAAUUCCGCGUGUAGCAGUGAAAUGCGUAGAUAUGCGGAGGAACACCGAUGGCGAAGGCAACCUCCUGGGAUAACUCUGACGAUCAUGCACGAAAGCGUGGUGAGCAAACAGG